rnacentral:ncRNA from 1 species
UAUGUUAGCAACGGGAAUGAAAUUUAUUUUAUAUCUUUAUACCUCCAAACACUUCAAAAAAAGUUUGGAGGUAAAAGAAUAUUUAUAUGGUAAAUAAUAUUUUGAUGAAAAGUUCUUUAUGUUAAAAAUUAAAUAUGAAAAAAAUAGAAGAUAAAUUUAUAAUCUUUAUAAUUUAAAGAUAGAUUUUUUAUUUUAGUUCUGGCGAAGCCUGUGCCAGCCGCCGCGGUUAUACAGGCAGGAUAUUAUAUUUUUGUAAAAGAAAUAUUUAUUUUUAUGAAAUUUAAGAUUAAUUAGGUGAAAUUAUUAAUUUUUAUAUAGUUUUUAAAAUUUUUAAAAUUUGUAGAAAAAAAAUAGGAUUAGAUACCCUUUUAUUACAUAAUGUUAAAUUAUUAGUAGCUUUGGAGUUGUAAAAUUUAAAUAAAAUGGCGGUUUUUUAAGCUUUUUAGAGGAAUUUAUUCUUUAAUUGAUAAGACUCAAGAAUCUUUCUUAAUUUGGUUAGGACAGUUUGUAUAUCGCUAUCAUAAUAUAAUAUUAUUGGAUUAUUAUAAAAGUAGAGAUUUUUUAAAAUGUUAGGUCAAAAUGCAGCAUAAAAUUAAGUUUGAAAUAAAUUACUUUAAUUUUUAUUGGAUUAUAGGAAGAGAAUUUAGGAUUUAAAAGUAAAUUUUAAUUAUAAUGUAUAGUUGAAAAUAGCUCUGAAAUAUGCACAUAUCGCCCGUCGCUCUCAAUUUUAUGAGAUAAGUCGUAACAAAGUAAAAGUAUCGGAAGAUGUUUUU